GCAGGUUGAUAUAUGUUGUUUUGAUAAGACUGGGACGUUGACAUCAGAUGACAUGGAAUUCUCUGGUGUUGGUGGGCUGACAGAUAGUGAAGACUUGGAAAGAGAUAUGAGUAAAGUCCCAAGACGAGCUCUGGAAA